GGUUUUACUGUCUCCUCUUUCAAAUCAGUGAAACUAAUCUCCCCGUGAAGAAGCGGGGAUACUUAUAUAAGACGAGAAGACCCUAUGGAGCUUCAAACCCAACUACACCCCUAACUCUAUAGCCCCUCAACCACACUGGCCCCUGUAUAGUUGAUUUUAGGUUGGGGCGACCACGGAGUAAAACAAAACCUCCAUAAUGAACGGGCCUACCCCCUUAUCUAAGAACCACACCCCCUAAGAAUUAGAAUACUAACAUAAAAUGAUCCAUUAUUUGAUUAAUGAACCAAGUUACCCUAGGGAUAACAGCGCAAUCCAUUUCGAGAGCCCAUAUCGACAAAUGGG
rnacentral:rRNA from 1 species